rnacentral:tRNA from 1 species
GGUGUCGUGGUGUAGUUGGUUAUCACGUCAGCCUAACACACUGAAGGUCUCCGGUUCAAGUCCGGGCGACGCCA